UAAAUUUGAUUCAACAUGGGAAAACUUGCCUGUUCAGACAUGGACAGGAUUGAAGGAAUAUUAGUUUUUUCUUGAUUUCUUGGGUAGUGGUACAUGGCCAUUCUUAGCUGAUGGAGCAAUUAGUCUGGUUAAUUUUCCUAUUGUGUUUGACACCAGAAGAGAUUUGUAGAUUUAGCCCCCAACAGAGAGCAUGAAGAUGGCCGCCAGGAGGAAAAGACAGUUUAAUAACACAUAUGUAACCAGACACAUGGGCUGAAGACCAGCCCUGGUACAGGCUGGUUAAAUAGUAAACAUUUACUCUAAGCUAUUAUGAGUU
rfam:Pygoscelis adeliae contig29473, whole genome shotgun sequence.